rnacentral:rRNA from 1 species
CCUACGGGGGGCUGCAGUGGGGAAUAUUGGACAAUGGGGGGAACCCUGAUCCAGCCAUGCCGCGUGUGUGAAGAAGGCCCUCGGGUUGUAAAGCACUUUCAGUGAGGAAGAACGCCUGGUGGUUAAUACCCAUCAGGAAAGACAUCACUCACAGAAGAAGCACCGGCUAACUCCGUGCCAGCAGCCGCGGUAAUACGGAGGGUGCGAGCGUUAAUCGGAAUUACUGGGCGUAAAGCGCGCGUAGGUGGCUUGAUAAGCCGGUUGUGAAAGCCCCGGGCUCAACCUGGGAACGGCAUCCGGAACUGUCAAGCUAGAGUGCAGGAGAGGAAGGUAGAAUUCCCGGUGUAGCGGUGAAAUGCGUAGAGAUCGGGAGGAAUACCGGUGGCGAAGGCGGCCUUCUGGACUGACACUGACACUGAGGUGCGAAAGCGUGGGUAGCAAACAGGAUUAGAUACCCCAGUAGUC